rnacentral:rRNA from 1 species
UACGUAGGGGCCAAGCGUUGUCCGGAUUUAUUGGGCGUAAAGAGCUCGUAGGCGGUUCGGCAAGUCAGCUGUGAAAUCUCCACGCUCAACGUGGAGGGGUCAGCUGAUACUGCUGUGACUCGAGUCCGGUAGGGGAGUGUGGAAUUCCCGGUGUAGCGGUGAAAUGCGCAGAUAUCGGGAGGAACAUCAGUGGCGAAAGCGGCUUCCUGGACCAGCACCGACGUUCAGGCACGAAAGCGUGGGGAGCAAACAGG